rnacentral:rRNA from 1 species
GUGAGGAAUAUUGGUCAAUGGGCGAGAGCCUGAACCAGCCAAGUCGCGUGAAGGAAGAAGGAUCUAUGGUUCGUAAACUUCUUUUGCAGGGGAAUAAAGUGCAGGACGUGUCCUGUUUUGUAUGUACCCUGAGAAUAAGGAUCGGCUAACUCCGUGCCAGCAGCCGCGGUAAUACGGAGGAUCCGAGCGUUAUCCGGAUUUAUUGGGUUUAAAGGGUGCGUAGGUGGUUUGAUAAGUCAGCGGUGAAAGUUUGCAGCUUAACUGUAAAAAUGCCGUUGAAACUGUCGGACUUGAGUGUAAAUGAGGUAGGCGGAAUGCGUGGUGUAGCGGUGAAAUGCAUAGAUAUCGCAGAACUCCGAUUGCGAAGGCAGCUUACUAAGCUACAACUGACACUGAAGCACGAAAGCGUGGGGAUCAAACAGGAUUAGAUACCCGAGUAGUCC